rnacentral:rRNA from 1 species
AGGACGAACGCUGGCGGCGUGCCUAACACAUGCAAGUCGAACGAGGUCCAUGCAGUGGCAACACUGCGGACGACCUAGUGGCGAACGGGUGAGUAACACGUGAGGAACUUGCCCCGGAGACCGGGAUAAGCCCCCGAAAGGGGGUCUAAUACCGGAUGUCCUCACCGAGUCGCAUGGCUUGGUGAGGAAAUGGAUUCCGCUCCGGGAGAGCCUCGCGGCCUAUCAGCUAGUUGGUGGGUAACGCCCACCAAGGCAUCGACGGGUAGCUGGUCUGAGAGGACGAUCAGCCACACUGGGACUGAGACACGGCCCAGACUCCUACGGGAGCAGCAGUGGGAAUCUUGC